rnacentral:lncRNA from 14 species
GAAUCUGCUCAGGCCAUUUUUCCCAUGUCACCAAGGCUGAAGACAACCGAUGGAGACAGGCCACAGAAUCUGAGGAAACGCCCCCAUCGAUGAGUAAGAUGACAAGGCUCCAUGGAAACCACUGUGUGGUUGGACAUCGGCGUGGUGCCCCACCCAAUCAGGAC